UUUUUUCCAAUAUGUGCGCUGCUGGUAUUAAGUCUGAAUGAAGGAAGGGACUGGGAGUCAUUUCCUAACAUUGCUAUGGUUUGAAUGUGUCCCCUAAAUUUCAUGUCUUGGAAACUUAAUCCCCAAAUUCAAAUGUUGAUUGGAAGUGGAACCUUUAGGACAUAAUUAGGAUUAGAUAAGGUCAUCAGUGUGGGCCCCCACCCCCAUGAUGGGACUGGUGGCUUUAUAAGAAGAGGAAGAUAAGAAGGGAAAGAAAGACCUGAGCUGACAUGCACAUGCUUGACCACUUGUCAUGUGAUGCCCUUUGCCAUGUUGUGACACAGCAAGGAGGCCCUCACCAGACGCCAGUGCCAUGUUCUUGGACUUCUCAGCCUCCAUAUUCAUGAACUAAGUUUUUGGAAUCCUUAGGCUUCCACGUGUGGAAAGCCUGAGCUAACCUACUGGAGGAUGAGCCAUCACCUGGAGCAGAUUCAGGCCAUCCUAGUUGAAGCCUCCCUAGGCCAAGCAACCGUCCAACUACCAGCCAUUGACCAUUCAGCCUUGAACAUUCAGCACAAAGACAAAACAGACCAGACCAGAAGAGUCCCACAGAAUAGGGGAAACUAUUCAGAGAAAACUUAAGCCACUAAGUUUUAUGGUGUUUUGUUCUGUAGCAGAAGCAUACUGACAAUACAAACCGAAA
rnacentral:lncRNA from 1 species